UCCGAUAUAGUGUAAUGGCUAUCACACGGCACUCUCCAUGCUGUGAUCCGGGUUCGAUUCCCGGUAUCGGAG